GAUGAAGAACGCAGCGAAAUGCGAUAAGUAAUGUGAAUUGCAGAAUUCAGUGAAUCAUCGAAUCUUUGAACGCACCUUGCGCUCCUUGGUAUUCCGAGGAGCAUGCCUGUUUGAGUGUCAUUAAAUUCUCAACCUCACCAGUUUUGUAACGAGACAGGUGAAGGCUUGGAUGUGGGGGUUUUGCAGGCUGCCUCAGUGCUGGUCUGCUCUCCUGAAAUGCAUUAGCGAGCUCAUAUUGAGCUUCCGUCUAUUGGUGUGAUAAUUAUCUACGCCGUGGAUUGGACUCAUGCUUGCUUCUAACCGUCCGCAAGGACAAUUUACUUGACCAAUUUGACCUCAAAUCAGGUAGGACUACCCGCUGAACUUAAGCAUAUCAAUAAGCGGAGGA
rnacentral:misc_RNA from 1 species